rnacentral:rRNA from 1 species
AGCAGUCGCCGCGGUAAUACGAACCGUGCGAACGUUAUUCGGAAUCACUGGGCUUAAAGCGCGUGUAGGCGGGAGGGCACGUCCGUUGCUGAAAUCCCCCGGCUCAACCGGGGAACGGGCGCGGAUACGACUCUUCUGGAGGAACGUAGGGGGACCUGGAACUUCCGGUGGAGCGGUGAAAUGCGUUGAGAUCGGAAGGAACGCCCGUGGCGAAAGCGAGGUCCUGGACGUUUACUGACGCUGAGACGCGAAAGCCAGGGGAGCGAACGGGAUUAGAGACCCCGGUAGUCCCUGUCUCUUAUA